rnacentral:lncRNA from 1 species
AUUUUGUAUGUCAAUAUAUGUAUAUAUAUAUAUAUAUGUAUAUUCAAACUGAAUUGAUUGAUUGCUUUUUCUUUUGUUUUUUUUUGGCACAUUUUUACACCUUCGACAAGAAUGAAAGAGUAUAACACUUUUAAAGAACUUCUAAAGUUGAAUAACAAUUUAAAAAAGGAGGAGAUUUUGGUUUUAUUUUUUCAUGGUUGUAUUUUAGAUAGUAAUUUUGUUUACCAUAUAAAAAAAGAAGAAAAAGAUAAGUGGUUACCCGAAAAUGAUAAGAUACAAUUUACGAAUGGUUAUAUAAAAUAUAUAACUGGUAAUAAAGAUAAUGAAUUCAUAAUAAGCAGAAUAAUAUUAGACCCCAAUUGGAAAAAUAAUUCAAAUAGUUAUAAUUUCACAUAUAAGAAUAACGAAAGUAGUAACAUAUUUAAUUUGAAUAUAUUAAAACUUGAAAAUUCUUUAAUUCUUCAAGUUAUUGAUUUAGCUUCACCAACUGUAGUAAAUUCGGUUACUAUUAAUAUUGCUGAGUAUAUAAAUGAUAAUGUUUAUUCUGGUGCUAGUGAUAGUAAUAAUGAUAGUAAACAAGAAACAAACAAAUUAGAACAAAUAAUUAAUAUAGAAAAACUAGAAAAUAUAUUUCAAACACAUGUGCUAAAUAAUAUGAUAAAAAAAGAAAACAUAAAUAACGACAUAAUUAAUAUAAAUAAAUGUUCUAACAUUCAACCAACUGUGUUUAGCAGUACAAAUUCGAACCCACACAGAAAUAUUAUAAAUUCACAAUUCUUACCAAAUAGCAAUAAUGGUGACUAUUUCAAUGAUAAAGAUCCCAUACCUAUGCAUAAUUUCCUUCCGAAUUUUAAGAAAGGCGAUCAUAUUUUAAAACCAGAUGGACUAUUAGUUGGACCUAACAAUAUGUUUUUUAACCCUCAAACUUUGCGUUACGAUCCUAUAGGCCCUUUCGGACAGGAGCCGAAUGCUGAUGGACUUAAACAUUUUGAAUUUCAAAAUAAGUUCCCCUUUUAAUUUUUUUUUUUUUUUACGCAUAUAUAUAUAAUAUGUGAACACGUUAUGUAUUAACUUAUUUACUUUUU